rnacentral:rRNA from 1 species
GUUAACUUCGGGGCAGCAGCUGGGUUAAUGAGAAGGGAGCGGGGUUUGUUGUGGAUCACUGGGAUUAAAGCGUGCGUAGGUGGAUUGGUAAGUAAGGAGUGAAGUCCCAGGGCUUAACCCUGGAACUGCUCUUUAGACUGCCUGUCUGGAAUUCGGAAGAGGUUGGUGGAACUCCCAGUGUAGAGGUGAAAUUCGCAGAUAUUGGGAAGAACACCGGUGGCGAAGGCGACCAACUGGUCCGACAUUGACACUGAGGCACGAAAGCGUGGGUAGCAAACAGGAUUAGAUACCCUUUUAGUC